AGAAUCAACGCUGGCGGCGUGCCUAACACAUGCAAGUCGCACGAGAAGGGACUUCGGUCCUGAGUACAGUGGCGCACGGGUGAGUAACACGUGAAUAAUCUACCUCCGAGUGGGGAAUAACUGAGAGAAAUCUUAGCUAAUACCGCAUAACACUUACGAGUCAAAGCAGCAAUGCGCUUGGAGAGGAGUUCGCGGCAGAUUAGUUAGUUGGCGGGGUAAUGGCCCACCAAGACGAUGAUCUGUA
rnacentral:rRNA from 1 species